rnacentral:rRNA from 1 species
GACGUAGGGCGCGAGCGUUGUCCGGAUUUAUUGGGCGUAAAGAGCUCGUAGGUGGUUCGGUAAGUCGGAUGUGAAAUCUCCAGGCUCAACCUGGAGGGGUCAUUCGAUACUGCCGUGACUAGAGUUCGGUAGAGGAGUGUGGAAUUCCUGGUGUAGCGGUGAAAUGCGCAGAUAUCAGGAAGAACACCCGUGGCGAAGGCGGCUCUCUGGGACGGUACUGACGCUGAGACGCGAAAGCGUGGGGAGCGAACAGG